rnacentral:piRNA from 1 species
UGCUCCUUGACCAAGUCUUUAAGAUUUGUU